GCAAAUUGUUUGAAUAUGAGCAAGUCUAUAGCUUGACAUUUCCAGAGAACUCAGUCACCUCAGCCUUGCAGGUGUUUCUUCUGAGAGACUAGAGCUGUUAGAAGAUGAGUCUCAACUUCAGAAAGCUCACAGCUUCAGGGCUGAAAUGCAGCCCUUCCAAGGGCGGCCACGCUCUUAUUUUCAAUACCCGAGGGAUGACAUUCUACUAAAGUUCUUCCACUUCCCUUUUUUCAGCUUUUCAGGUCUUAUCUGAGCAGCGCCCUCCAGCCUUCCUUCUUUGAAAGAGAUGAGCCUGACUUGGUGAGACAAACAUGUCCUGCCCUCAGCGUCGUCGGGUCCUCACACACCUGUGGCCGCUCCUGCUGAUCCUGGCUCCUGGAAGAGAGCAAUCAGGCGUACUUCCAAAAGCCGUACUUCUGCUCGAUCCUCCAUGGUCCACCACAUUCAAAGGAAAAAAAAUGACUCUCAGAUGUACUGAUUCCCAUUCUCCAACAAAGGGACAGGCAUCUUGGUUUUGUGACAAGAAAAUAUUGAAUACGGUAUCUGAAAUCAUCACAAUUGAAACAUCUGGGAGUUACCAGUGCAAGACCC
rnacentral:lncRNA from 1 species